UGGGGAAUAUUGGACAAUGGGCGCAAGCCUGAUCCAGCGAUGCCGCGUGGAUGAUGAAGGCCCUAGGGUUGUAAAGUCCUUUCGAUGGUGAAGAUAAUGACGGUAGCCAUUAAAGAAGCCCCGGCUAAUUUCGUGCCAGCAGCCGCGGUAAUACGAAAGGGGCAAGCGUUGUUCGGAAUUACUGGGCGUAAAGCGCGCGUAGGCGGCAUGCCAAGUUAGGGGUGAAAUCCCGGAGCUCAACUCCGGAACUGCCUCUAAAACUGGCAAGCUAGAGGAUGUGAGAGGAUAGUGGAAUUCCGAGUGUAGAGGUGAAAUUCGUAGAUAUUCGGAAGAACACCAGUGGCGAAGGCGACUGUCUGGCACAUUUCUGACGCUGAGGUGCGAAAGCGUGGGGAGCGAACAGGAUUAGAUACCCCCGUAGUCC
rnacentral:rRNA from 1 species